rnacentral:rRNA from 1 species
UACGUAGGGUGCGAGCGUUAAUCGGAAUUACUGGGCGUAAAGCGUGCGCAGGCGGUUUUGUAAGCCAGAUGUGAAAUCCCCGGGCUUAACCUGGGAAUGGCAUUUGGGACUGCAAGGCUGGAGUGUGGCAGAGGAGACUGGAAUUCCUGGUGUAGCAGUGAAAUGCGUAGAUAUCAGGAGGAACACCAGCGGUGUAGACGGCUUUCUGGACCAUUGCUGACGCUGAGACACGAAAGCGUGGGUAGCAAACAGG